GGUACGGGAUCCGAUCUACCGGCGGCGAUGGGGAGCUUCCUCCCGCGUCCGUUCCACGGUGGUCCAUGGCUCGACCCGUCGUGCUCGCGCCGCCCACCGACCGCCGCGCCACCGCCAGGUUCGGCGACCGCUGCUGCCAUAACCGGGUAAACAAGCUCGGCGGCCGCCUCCCACGCCGCCGGGCGAGCGCUUCGCUCGUCGACGUGGGUGAAUUCUGAGGUGUUUAGCAUCAGAGAUUUGGGACUUUACACAGUGUGAAAUUCUGAAGUGUUUAGGUCACAGAUUUAGGUCUUCAGGUGGUGCAAAUUACACUCAUAUCUUUCUAUAUAAUAAGAUAGUGGCAGGAAAUGCCGUUUUAUUGCUGCAACUUUCGUUGCAAACAUCGGAGA